rnacentral:rRNA from 1 species
GGCCUACGGGACGCAGCAGUGGGGAAUAUUGCACAAUGGGGGAAACCCUGAUGCAGCGACGCCGCGUGAGCGAAGAAGUAUUUCGGUAUGUAAAGCUCUAUCAGCAGAGAAGAAAAAUGACGGUACCUGAGUAAGAAGCACCGGCUAAAUACGUGCCAGCAGCCGCGGUAAUACGUAGGUGGCAAGCGUUAUCCGGAUUUACUGGGUGUAAAGGGAGCGUAGACGGAAUAGCAAGUCUGAUGUGAAAACCCGGGGCUCAACUCCGGGAGUGCAUUGGAAACUGUUGAUCUAGAGUGUCGGAGAGG